UGGUAGGGUUUUUAGUCGACCCAGUCGUUGUGAUGGUCGGUGGGACGCUAGCGUCGUUA
rnacentral:ribozyme from 1 species